AAUGUACUCCCUCCGUCCGGAAAUACUUGUCCUAGAAAUGGAUAAAAUGGAUGUAUCUAUAACUAAAAUAAGUCUAGAUACAACCAUUUCUAAGACAAGUAUUUCCGGACAGAGGGAGUACUGC
rfam:Triticum aestivum genome assembly, contig: Triticum_aestivum_CS42_TGACv1_scaffold_114803_2AS